AUUUAAACAAUCACUUUAAUAUCUUCAAUAUUAUGCUCUAAAUUUAAGCUAUUUAAAU
rnacentral:tRNA from 1 species